rnacentral:tRNA from 2 species
GCCGACGUAGCUCAGUUGGUAGAGCAGCUCACUCGUAAUGAGCAGGUCAGCGGUUCGAGUCCGCUCGUCGGCU